rnacentral:tRNA from 3 species
GCCCACAUAGCUCAGUCGGUAGAGCACUUCCUUGGUAAGGAAGAGGUCACCGGUUCAAAUCCGGUUGUGGGCU